CCUACGGGAGACUGCAGUGGGGAAUAUUGCGCAAUGGGCGAAAGCCUGACGCAGCGACGCCGCGUGAGGGAUGAAGGUCUUCGGAUCGUAAACCUCUGUCAGCCGGGCAGAACGGUCACUGUGCUAAUCAGCAGUGACUUGACGGUACCUGCAAAGGAAGCACCGGCUAACUCCGUGCCAGCAGCCGCGGUAAUACGGCGGGUGCGAGCGUUAAUCGGAAUUACUGGGCGUAAAGCGCUCGUAGGCGGUAUGUCAAGUCAAGGGUGAAAUCCCCGCGCUCAACGUGGGAACUGCCUUUGAAACUGGCAAACUGGAGUGGGUGAGAGGAGAGUGGAAUUCCAGGUGUAGGAGUGAAAUCCGUAGAUAUCUGGAGGAACAUCAGUGGCGAAGGCGACUAUCUGGCACAUAACUGACGCUGAGGAGCGAAAGCGUGGGUAGCAAACAGGAUUAGAUACCCUUGUAGUC
rnacentral:rRNA from 1 species